UAAAGCAAACCCAUAUCCAAUUUUUUUUCUUCUUCUCUGCUACUGCUAGUAUAGGCGGUGUAAAUGGAAGAAGAUAAUAUUGUUUCUCUGCUGCUACAAACAAUUUUUAUCUGCUACUACAAACAGUUGAAGUAAAAUAAUUACUAUUUACUAACCGAAACAAUGGGGGAGUGUGGUAGUCGGAAAAGAACGGUGUAGUCGUCGGCGUCGAAGGCGGAAACUUCACGUUUUUACGGUGCUACUGUGGUGAGGGAAGCUCUACACUUCUCUUGUUUCUGUUACCUAUUUCUUUUGCCCUUUUAAUUUUUAACCUUUCAAUUAUUUUUCCCUUUCAAUUUCUUGCCAUUUCUUUAAUUUUUUUCAUUUAAUUUUUACCUUAUUUUUUUAUUUUUUUACCAAAUGAAUUUGGGCCAGAGCCUGGGCAAUUGCCCAGUGUAGUCGGGCCUUGAAACCGCCUGUGAGUAUAGGAAGAUACUUAAUCAUAAAGAUAAGGGUUUUAGGAAGAUUUUUAAUCCUCAAGUCAAGGAGACGUAUGCUAUGAAAGUUUGUUUCGGCCAGAGGAAGAUCAGAAAGCCAUACAUACCUACAAAUCCUUUCAAACCAGAUUUAUGUUUUCAAACAAAAGAAGAAGAAUAUUUAGAGUUAAAAAAGGCACAUGUAGGUGAAUUAGAAAAACAAGUGACUGCGUACAACCUUCUAGAAAAAGAAAGUAGCAAAUUUCUGAUCUUGGCUUCGUUAAAUAUUAGAAUCCAAACCAAAGUGGUUCGGUUCAUGAAGGAGAAUCUAAUAGUUCAUCAUGUCAUAGCACCCAAAAGUAGGUGGAAAUAUCAAUUCUCAAACACAUAACUGAUAGACGUCCAAAGAAGAAAGUCCAAAAGAGAGAAGGAGCAAAAUAAUGUUCAUCUCUAUUCCUAAAGUCAGAGCAAACCGUUUUUCAAUCCCUAAAGAACUAUAAACCUAAAUCAAUAAAGGAGCCUCUCCCACACACCUAUCAAAACUUGCCCCAAAUUUGUUUCUAAUUUCUCAAAACUCUUUCAAUCAAAAUUGUCAAAAUUUUAUAGGGGAUCAACCUUAUGUAGCAAUUUACACUACUAAAAAUAAGAUAAUUGAUGUGAAAAAUAUUUGUCAAAGGAUUUUACCUCAGAUUUUAUAACAAAUUGAUGUGAAAAAAAAAUUUGAUUUACUAAUUUUACAUCAGACAUUUAACUCAAAUGAUGGGAAAAAUAACGCGGUGGCAAACUUAAAAUUAAAACAAAAAUGGGUUAUAAGGGCUUUUACAUCGGUGGAGAAAUAAACCGAUGGGAAAAGUGGGCCACUUAGGGCGUUUACAUCGGGUCAUGUAUGCAUCUAUGGGAAAAGUGGGCCACUUAGGGCAUUUAGAUCGCGGCAUGUAUGCACCGAUGGGAAAAGUGAUGGCAGUUACAUCGGCCCACACUGAAUAAAUCGAUGGGAAAAGUCACUUUCUCCACUAAAACCCUAAUCCCCUUUCAAACCCAAAACAUAUUUCUUUUUCUUCUUUCUUUAGUUCUGCUCCGUCCCUCAUCUCCUAACCUGCAACCAUUCAACUGUUGUCGUUGUUCCUCCCUUGCGCCGCCAUCCUUCCGCUCGCGUCGUCGUCCUCCUCUCUCGCCGCCGUCACCUCUCGUGCCGUCGUCCUCCUCUCUCGCUGACGUCACCUCUCACGCUGCCGUCUCUGUCUCCACACCGCCACGUACUUCUCCGCCUCCUCUUUCUAAGUGCUACUUGAAAUCAAAGAAAGAGAGGAUAUGAGAAUAUUCAUAACAUAUGCCGAAAGGGUAGGGAAAAUGUGGCUAGGAAUGUAUACUCACAUGUAUUAUCUCGUGGAGGGUAUCCCUUGCUCGAGGAGACAAUUAAAAAUGAAAGGAUAUCAUCAAGAUAUGAUUCUACAUUAGAUGAUAAUGGUAGUCCAUCUCCACCGUCACGCCAUGAGUUAUGGAAGAGAGUACGACAAAAGAAAGGAGGAGAAUACACAUCAAAGUCUACACAAGCUGUUGCGGAGAAAAUUGAUUCUCUAGUUGAAGAAGCUGAAAAAGGUGUCUUUGUUUCACAUGGACGUAACGAUAUCUUAACAGCAGCCAUUGGAACAUCUGAGCAUGGGGGUCGUGUUCGUGGUGUUGGAAAGUACCAUAAACAAAGCACUUACUUUGAAAGGUCGUAUUCACGUCAAGGACAACAUAUAGAUGUAAAUGAACAACUUGAACAACUUUCAUCAAAAUUGAAAGCAAGACUUAGAGCUGAUUUUGAUAAAAAGUUGGUUGAAGAGCGUAAGGCGUUGGAACAAUCUUUUAUGGAGACACUUAAGUCUAUGGGUUUUUCGCAAAGCACAUAUAAUACUAAAUGCAUUGAAAAAAUGGAAGUAGUUGAAGGAAGCAGAAAAGGAAAUUGUUCAGCUGCAAAAGGAAGCACAAAAGAUGUGGAAGUUGACGAUGUUCAGAGAAUAUUACUCAUGGUUGUGAAAAUGGUUGACCAACACUUGGAAAUGGAAUUAAGUCAUUGUAAAUCUGCCACUCAUUUUUAUAUGUCAGCUAAGUGUAUCAGACAGUUGUUGAUGGAUUUUCAUUGGCUUGGCGUGUCUACUCUGGAAGUUUAGUGCAUGUAUAUUCAUCGUAUAUGUAUUGAUAAUUUCACAUCAGAAGUGUAUGGAUUUAUGGACCCUGCUAUGUGUAUGUAUUAUGAUGAUGUGCCAAAAUCUAUAGCAGGUGUUAAAAAAUACAUAUAAGAUAAGUUAAUGUUGGAAAAUAGAGUUUUCCACUUACUACCACUUAUUCAUGGACAACAUUGACAAUUAAUAGUCAUGUGUCCAAGAGAAAAUAUUGUGGUCGUCUUUUGUUCACUUCAUCGGGAUAUUGACAAAGCCACGAAGAAAAUUAUUUCAACUGCUUUUGAGGUUCAUCAAUUUGCAAAUGGCAAUAGAAAAAGGCUACAUGGCUUAGGCCCAAUACAAGGAAACAACAUAACUCUAAUGAUUGUGGAUACUAUGUGAUGAAAAAUAUGUUGGAUAUUGUCUCUGCCAAUAUAACUGAAUCUUGGAUGCAGGUAUUUGAUGAUCCUACAGAACUAACACAAGAAAAUUUGUAUGAUUUGCGACUCCGUUGGGCAAAAUAUUUCUUUGAGCUAUAUAAAGAAUAAAUUUAUGGUUCUCGUGGAUGCAUGUUGAUUUUUCAAGUGCGCGAAAGGACUUAAAUGAUUGGAUAUUUGUUGUGUUAUUAUUUUGUAGUAGUAU